rnacentral:rRNA from 1 species
AAGCGCUUGUGACCAGACUUGGGCUUGGUUGAUCAUCCGGGGUUCUCCCCGGUGCACUCUUCCGGCUCAGGCCAGCAUCAGUUCGCCCUGGGGGAUAAAGGCAUCGGGAACGUGGCUCUCUCCGGGGAGUGUUAUAGCCCUCGGUGCAAUGCCGCCUACCUGGACCGAGGACCGCGCUUCGGCUAGGAUGCUGGCGUAAUGGUUGUAAGCGA